rnacentral:rRNA from 1 species
UAGGGAAUCUUGGGCAAUGGGCGCAAGCCUGACCCAGCGAUGCCGCGUGUGUGAAGAAGGCCUUAGGGUUGUAAAGCACUUUCAGUCGUGAAGAAACGCUCAGGGCUAAUAUCCCUGAGUUUUGACGUUAGCGACAGAAGAAGCACCGGCUAACUCCGUGCCAGCAGCCGCGGUAAUACGGAGGGUGCGAACGUUAAUCGGAAUUACUGGGCGUAAAGCGCGCGUAGGCGGCUUGUUAAGUGGGAUGUGAAAGCCCUGGGCUUAACCUGGGAACUGCAUUCCAAACUGGCAGGCUAGAGUAUGGUAGAGGGAGGUAGAAUUUCCUGUGUAGCGGUGAAAUGCGUAGAUAUAGGAAGGAAUACCGGUGGCGAAGGCGGCCUCCUGGACCAAUACUGACGCUGAGGUGCGAAAGCGUGGGGAGCAAACAGGAUUAGAUACCCCCGUAGUCC